rnacentral:rRNA from 1 species
GACGAACGCUGGCGGCGUGCUUAACACAUGCAAGUCGAGCGAUGAAGCUUCUUCGGAAGCGGAUUAGCGGCGGACGGGUGAGUAACACGUGGGCAACCUGCCUCAUAGAGGGGAAUAGCCUUCCGAAAGGAAGAUUAAUACCGCAUAAGAUUGUAAUAUCGCAUGAUAUAGCAAUUAAAGGAGUAAUCCGCUAUGAGAUGGACCCGCGUCGCAUUAGCUAGUUGGUGAGGUAACGGCUAACCAAGGCGACGAUGCGUAGCCGACCUGAGAGGGUGAUCGGCCACAUUGGGACUGAGACACGGCCCAGACUCCUACGGGAGGCAGCAGUGGGGAAUAUUGCACAAUGGGGGAAACCCUGAUGCAGCAACGCCGCGUGAGUGAUGACGGUCUUCGGAUUGUAAAGCUCUGUCUUCAGGGACGAUAAUGACGGUACCUGAGGAGGAAGCCACGGCUAACUACGUGCCAGCAGCCGCAGUAA